UACAGAGGUCUCAAGCGUUGUUCGGAUUCAUUGGGCGUAAAGGGUGCGUAGGCGGCGCGGUAAGUCGGGUGUGAAAUCUUGGAGCUUAACUCCGAAACUGCAUUCGAUACUGCCGUGCUUGAGGACUGGAGAGGAGACUGGAAUUUACGGUGUAGCGGUGAAAUGCGUAGAUAUCAGGAGGAACACCAAUUGCGAAGGCAGCUCGCUAAACUGACAUUGACGCUGAGGCACGAAAGCGUGGGGAGCAAACAGG
rnacentral:rRNA from 1 species